CAUUGAUGGAGACGCAUGAUUUGUCUGGGUAAACGCCCAGUUGAGCCUACUGAUGGUACAUAUUUUCCCUUCUUCCUCCCAUAUUUUUAUGUUGCCGUCCUUCCUGUUGUCUGCUUCAUGGUUACUUGCAGUUUGCUUUGUACAUGUCCCUGCUGCUGGGCUGCCUGUGUCUUUACUGUCUAAGUUUGGUUUCUCUGCUUCUUUACAUGAUGUAUUCUAUUCACUCGGGUCGUCGCAACUUCCUACCAGGCCUCCUCUGCAGGGCAUUUCUUCAUGAUCUGCUCCAGGUGUGGAGCCUUCCCUUGAUAUAGACAUAUUUGCUUCUGGAGAUGAUUUGUGUUUCAUGGGUACAGGUUAGAACAGUCAAUUGCAGCUAGACCUGGAGAGGGUAGUUGACCUUGGCCGAGCAGCAAAAAACCUACUGUGAGCAUUUUAUGUACUAUAUUAUCGCACAACCUCAGAGCUUCCUUUUACCGUGUAAAUUAUUUUUAACCAGUCAGAGCUUGGUUCUUUGGAGGUACAGUGCUCAGGAAAUGGAUAGGCAUACCGCAAAAUUUGUUCCUUAGUUUGAGGUGCAUUCCUUCUCAAAGUUACAUAUACUAUGAUUUUUUAUAAGAGCCAAACUAGCAACCUUUAGUUCUUGAGAUUUUCGUUAUACUUUGGAGUAACAAUUUGCAACAUGUUCUUACAUUUACUCUCCAAAAGACGUGUGUGUUUUUCUCUAUGUUGUCCUGGCUGUUGGGGA